rnacentral:rRNA from 1 species
CUCAAUGAAAUUAAAUAGCCGCAAUAUUUGUGCUAAGGUAGCAUAAUCAUUCGUUUUCCAAUUAAAAACUAGAACAAAAGAUUCAACAUUUAAAUUUCUCUCCAACAUAUAUCAUCUAACUUAUUCCAAAUAUUAAAAAAUAUUUAUUCAUUAAGAAGACGACAAGACCCUAUUGAACUUUACUGAAGUUAAACUGGGGAAGUUAAUUAAAUACAAUUUUAAUUUAAAAUUUAAAAACAACCUAAUAUAAUUAAAAAUCAAGUUACCAUAGGGAUAACAGCAUAAUAAAUUUUUCAAGUUCUUAUUUAAAAAAUCGCUUAUGACCUCGAUGUUGAAUUAAUAAUCUAUUAAAAGUAACAAUUUAAUAAGAAAGUCUGUUCGACUU